ACAUCACCAACAGAACAGCCUUUGAGAGCAUUUCAAUGGGGUUAUCUGCAACAUAUACAUGCCAUAUCCGAGCCAAUCCUGAACCAGAUCCGCACCCAUAUCUGUGCAAUACCUGCACUAUAUCUGCGCCACACUUGCAUAUCUGUAUCGUUUCCAGCUUGUUUUCCAGUUCUCCCCCUGUCCCCUUGUUUGCUUUGCAGAGACAGACCGAUCACUAUACUGAGCCACACAGACUCUGAGGGUCAAAGGUGGCCGUCGGGGGUUAACACGUGCAGCUAAGCAAACACUGGCGUCGACUCAGCAGAGCAAACUCAGGUUGUGGUUGUCGUCACAGUGCUGUGACAGUCUGGAGAACGCCCUGAUCGAGGUGCUUUGGGUCACCACUCCUGGACCCGAUCUGGACCAGGUCCAACGUGAGUCCGAUCACCAGAUCGUUUCCAGAUGCUACCCCUGCUGCUACCUGGUCUGAGAAAACAGGAUCAGAAGCAGGACAUCAUCAUCAGCCAUGCGUGUGCGGCCGGAGCACCAUCCUCCAUCUUUCUGACAGAGCCACGGUCGGGGAUCCUGCUCCUCCUCCGCUCCAUUUGUAAGUAUGUAAUUAGCCCUGGCUCUUGGAGAUCCAGUGUGUGAUUCCAUCACGGAACCCUCUGAAGUGUGACUCCAUCGGGAACCCAGAGGAGCUGUCUGACUGGCACGCAGAUUGGGUGAAUGAAACACCAUGGGCGUGCAGUUUGGGCGAAUGAGACACCAUGGGCACGCAGAUUGGGUGAAUGAGACGCCAUGGGCACGCAGAUUGGGUGAAUGAGACGCCAUGGGCACGCAGAUUGGGUGAAU